rnacentral:rRNA from 1 species
GAUGAACGCUGGCGGCGUGCCUAAUACAUGCCAGUCGAGCGAACAGACGAGGAGCUUGCUCCUCUGACGUUAGCGGCGGACGGGUGAGUAACACGUGGAUAACCUACCUAUAAGACUGGGAUAACUUCGGGAAACCGGAGCUAAUACCGGAUAAUAUAUUGAACCGCAUGGUUCAAUAGUGAAAGACGGUUUUGCUGUCACUUAUAGAUGGAUCCGCGCCGCAUUAGCUAGUUGGUAAGGUAACGGCUUACCAAGGCAACGAUGCGUAGCCGACCUGAGAGGGUGAUCGGCCACACUGGAACUGAGACACGGUCCAGACUCCUACGGGAGGCAGCAGUAGGGAAUCUUCCGCAAUGGGCGAAAGCCUGACGGAGCAACGCCGCGUGAGUGAUGAAGGUCUUCGGAUCGUAAAACUCUGUUAUUAGGGAAGAACAAAUGUGUAAGUAACCAUGCACGUCUUGACGGUACCUAAUCAGAAAGCCACGGCUAACUACGUG